rnacentral:rRNA from 1 species
UACGAAGGGGGCUAGCGUUGCUCGGAAUUACUGGGCGUAAAGCGCACGUAGGCGGCUCUUUAAGUCGGAGGUGAAAUCCUGGAGCUCAACUCCAGAACUGCCUUCGAUACUGUAGAGCUUGAGUUCGGGAGAGGUGAGUGGAACUGCGAGUGUAGAGGUGAAAUUCGUAGAUAUUCGCAAGAACACCAGUGGCGAAGGCGGCUCACUGGCCCGAUACUGACGCUGAGGUGCGAGAGCGUGGGGAGCGAACCGG